rnacentral:rRNA from 1 species
UACGUAUGGUGCAAGCGUUAUCCGGAUUUACUGGGUGUAAAGGGAGCGUAGACGGCUGUGUAAGUCUGAAGUGAAAGCUCGGGGCUCAACCCCGGGACUGCUUUGGAAACUAUGCAGCUAGAGUGUCGGAGAGGUAAGUGGAAUUCCCAGUGUAGCGGUGAAAUGCGUAGAUAUUGGGAGGAACACCAGUGGCGAAGGCGGCUUACUGGACGAUGACUGACGUUGAGGCUCGAAAGCGUGGGGAGCAAACAGG